rnacentral:piRNA from 1 species
UUUGGACCCAUCUGCUCAGCUACGAAUC